rnacentral:misc_RNA from 1 species
CUGUAAUGCGAGCGAGCGACACAGCUUGCGAGCAAUUUUCAGCGAGAAAAAUGCGAAACACCACGCACAUCAUUUCAUCAAUCGGGCCGCGGGGCGCGGGACGCGUAAGGAUCUUUCGUGCUCCUUCAAGUCAAGCUAUGGCCGUGGCCUCACCGCCUCCUGGCCAGCUGGAACGUGCGCUUCAAGAACUGGUUGGCGGCCUCGUCGUCGCGGUGGCACAGCACCCGGAGGAUGGUGUUCGGGUCGGCGGGGUCCCACCUCCGCGUCGUGGGCGGCAGCGGCGUGCACCCGCCUGCGCCGGCGCGGCCGUCCUCGCUGAUGGAGUCGCACGUGGCGACGCUGAACGCGUCGAUGAGGUAGUCCGUGGAGCGUGCCAUGAGCUCCACGACGGCCUCGGCCGUCUCUGCCUCCCGCGCCACCACGUCCUCGGGGACCAGCCCUUCCCCGCACGUGGAGAAGGCGCGCCUCAGGCUCCGGAAGUCCUCCUCCACCGUGGCGUGGUCGGCGCGCACGAAGCUCCGCUCGUUGCCGCCCGCCAGGAGCACCAUCAGGAACGCCUCGAAGGAGGCGCGCAUCACCUCCCGCACCGCCACGGGCUGCGCGCGGUCCGCGAGCACGGACACCAGGAACGACAGGUUCUGCUUCAGCAGGCGGAGCGCGGGGCGGAUGCGGGCGUCCGCCACGCUGCGGGCGUACAGGCCCUGGUACAAGGAGUGGCGCGAGUCCAGGAAGAUGAGGCGGUGCGCGGCGACCUCGGCGACGGCCGAGAUCGACGACUGCGCCGCGGCGCGUGCGCGGUCCAGGUGAGAGGUCGAGGACGACAGCGAGCUGUCGAGGGCCUCCAGGUGGGUCAGCACGUAGUGGAGCGUGUUGAGGCGGACGUAGAGCCGCUGCGUGCCCCGGCUGAUGGACGGCCGCGGGACGUGGUGCGAACCGCCGCCGCCGCGCGGGGUGGCAUCCGGCGGCGCCUGGCACGUCGGCAGCGCCGCCUUCUUCCACAGUCGGAAGAAGCCCGAGUCUUGGUUGCACCUCGUCAGCGGCGGCAGCGGAGGGAGGUAGUUCUGUUUCGAACCUGCUCGUCGUACUCGUGCCAUCAUCAACCAUGUUUCACAUGUACUACUAGCCAUGAAAACAAACUUGUGUGCACG